rnacentral:tRNA from 1 species
GGUUCCGUAGCUCAAUGGAUAGAGCAACUGCCUUCUAAGCAGUAGGUUUGAAGGUGCGAAUCCUUCCGGAACCA